GGGGCAAAACUCAACCCUACCCCGUUUUAGAGCUAGAAAUAGCAAGUUAAAAUAAGGCUAGUCCGUUAUCAACUUGAAAAAGUGA
rnacentral:misc_RNA from 1 species